rnacentral:rRNA from 1 species
GCGGCAUGGUUAAGCAUGCAAGUCGAACGGGCCCGCAAGGGCCAGUGGCGGAAGGGUGAGUAAUGCGAUUGAACGUACCCCGGAGUGAGGGAUAGCCAUGGGAAACUGUGGGUAAUACUUCAUGAUCUCCACGGAGCAAAGAUUUAUCGCUCUGGGAUCGGCAAUCGUCCUAUCAGCUAGUUGGUGAGGUAAGAGCUCACCAAGGCAAUGACGGGUAGCAGGUGUGAGAGCACGGCCUGCCACAUCGAAACUGAGACACUGUUCGGACUCNUACGGGAGGCUGCAGCGACGAAUCUUCCGCAAUGGGCGAAAGCCUGACGGAGCGAUGCCGCGUGUGGGAUGAAGCGGCUUUGCCGUGUAAACCACUGUCAGGAGACAGGAAUACUGACCGUCUCCAGAGGAAGGGGCGACUAACUCUGUGCCAGCAGUCGCGGUAAUACAGAGGCCCCGAGCGUUAGUCGGAAUCACUGGGCUUAAAGGGUGCGUAGGCGGCUGGAUAAGUGUCGUGUGAAAUCCCACUGCUCAACAGUGGAACUGCACGGCAAACUGUCUGGCUAGAAGUAUGUAGAGGUCGCUAGAACGAUUGGUGGAGCGGUGGAAUGCGUAGAUAUCAAUCGGAAUGCCAAAGGUGAAGACAGGCGACUGGGCAUUACUUGACGCUGAGGCACGAAAGCGUGGGGAGCAAACAGGAUUAGAUACCCUGGUAGUCCACGCCCUAAACGAUGUAUGCUGAGUUCAGCGGCUCUGACGCCGUUGGAACUGUAGAGAAAUUGGUAGCAUACCGCCUGGGA